UCUUUCCCAUUCCUCCCAUGCC
rnacentral:miRNA from 1 species